UGCAGAUGAUGUAACAAAAUCGUAUCUUAACAACAUUGAAGACAAUUUAACUCCAAGACCGCUGAUGCA